rnacentral:rRNA from 1 species
AGUGAACGCUGGCGGUAGGCCUAACACAUGCAAGUCGAACGGCAGCACAGGAGAGCUUGCUCUCUGGGUGGCGAGUGGCGGACGGGUGAGGAAUACAUCGGAAUCUACUUUUUCGUGGGGGAUAACGUAGGGAAACUUACGCUAAUACCGCAUACGACCUACGGGUGAAAGCAGGGGACCUUCGGGCCUUGCGCGAUUGAAUGAGCCGAUGUCGGAUUAGCUAGUUGGCGGGGUAAAGGCCCACCAAGGCGACGAUCCGUAGCUGGUCUGAGAGGAUGAGCAGCAACACUGGAACUGGGAACCGGUCCAGACUCCUACGGGAGGCAGCAGUGGGGAAUAUUGGACAAGGGGCGCAAGCCUGAUCCAGCCAUACCGCGUGGGUGAAGAAGGCCUUCGGGUUGUAAAGCCCUUUUGUUGGGAGAGAAAUCCAGCUGGCUAAUACCCGGUUGGGAUGACGGUACCCAAAGAAUAAGCACCGGCUAACUUCGUGCCAGCCGCCGCAUAA